AUACGUAUUCAUUAAAAUGACAUUUAUAAAACCUUUUUAAUAUUCUAAUAACACUACCAAAAAUAUUUAUAACUAAAUGAAACCUUAUUUCACACACACCUUAUUAUACACCUUAUUUCGAGUCAUCAAAAAAUAUAAUCGAUUUUUAUAUCGAUUAUUUUUAUUCAUCACCACAUUAUUAGCAUGGCAACACUGAAAAUAUUGUCACAGCUGUUAUCUGUCAUUCGCUUUGUUUUGAAUUUUUCAUCGUGAGUGUUGUUUAGUUCUCAAAACCAAGUCUUUGCCAAAAUAAAAGCAGAAGAGUGUUGUAUAAGUUUCCCUUUUGACGUCUUUAUUUUUUUGACCAUGGUCCUCGAUGCUUCCUUUCCCGAUGACCCUGGCAUACUCUCGAACUACGAAUCUCACUCAACCAAUGACCAAUGGCUCACUUUCGGACAUCGAACCUUGCCUAAACGCCGACCACGGCUUACGUAUGGACUCCGACCCGAGCCCCAAUGUUAACCCCAGCCCGAUUUUGGAUAAUGCAACUAGCAAUUCCUCAAUGUCAUGAGGAACCUAUGAUAUGUAUCAAUUGUAUAGCUGACAUGAUGCAGAGGAGGCGACAUAGCCUAGAGCUUAUUAAGUUCAGUUGGUUAUAAUGUCAGUGGAUGACUCCUCAGCUGGUAAGUUAUUGAAUGAGCGUGUGGACUUGUUGAAUACCUUUUACAAUGUAUUUGAUCAACUACCUUUACCGUAGAUUACCAUAAUCCUAAUAAAACUUUUUUUUUAGAUUGAUAACAGCAGUGUAUGUUGUCACUCAUGUUGGACCGUGGCCACGGUGUGGCUCUGCACCAAUCAAGGACAAAUAAUAUUUCAAAUGAAGAAGCAACCACUAGCACUGGUCACAGUUAACGUGGAUUGUCUUUAUUACAAAUACGUUCCAUAGACUGCAUAUUAACACUGAAAGAGAAUCACAUAUUCGAAAAUAAUGUAAUAAUGGAACAGAUUUCACCUCGUCAACUGCGGGGAUCUGACCAAAUAUGUAAUUCUUAAGUGGCAGUGAGCUGAUCGAGCUGCUACACAUGCUGUGGAGCCCCAACAAACACAUGAUGGGACGAGGAUUCAUUUGCCCUGAUAUUGGCCGAAUAACAGUAGGUUGCUGUGCUCAUGUUAUGACAAUUUUGUGGUUUUUGAGCUGGGCAAGGUAUCAGGAACAUGUAUUUCCACCUGCCUAGUUCCUAGACAAUAUUUUAUUGACCCAUGAGUCAGAUUAAAAUAAUAAUAAUAAUAAUAAUUGUAAUAAACCUGAUAUUGUGGUGGUUGACCGAUCCCAACGUCGGGCAGUGCUCGUUGACAUCACCAUCCCGCAUGACGAAAACCUCGUGAAGGCCGAGAAGGAAAAACAAAGCAAAUACCUUGACUUGGCCCACGAGGUGACCGCCAUGUGGGAUGUUGACUCGACGAUCAUUGUCCCGAUAGUUGUCUCGGCAAACGGGCUAAUAGCGAAGAGCUUCGACCAACAUCUAAAGAAGCUCUCGCUAGAUGGUUGGCUCAAGGGUCAGAUUCAAAAGACGGUGAUCCUCAGCACGGCACGCAUUGUCCGGAGGUUCCUCAGCCUGUGACCCUGACCACCGGUAGUUUGGGCCUUGCUCCGCUGCCAGCGGGUUAACUAUUUUUAAGAUUUUUGUUUUUAUAAUGUAUUUUUAUUUUUUGAUAAUUACAUUGUAAAAAGAAAAAAUUAAAAA